GACAUCCUUUGACAACUCUAGAGAUAGAGCAUUCCCCUUCGGGGGACAAAGUGACAGGUGGUGCAUGGUUGUCGUCAGCUCGUGUCGUGAGAUGUUGGGUUAAGUCCCGCAACGAGCGCAACCCUUAAGCUUAGUUGCCAUCAUUAAGUUGGGCACUCUAAGUUGACUGCCGGUGACAAACCGGAGGAAGGUGGGGAUGACGUCAAAUCAUCAUGCCCCUUAUGAUUUGGGCUACACACGUGCUACAAUGGACAAUACAAAGGGCAGCGAAACCGCGAGGUCAAGCAAAUCCCAUAAAGUUGUUCUCAGUUCGGAUUGUAGUCUGCAACUCGACUACAUGAAGCUGGAAUCGCUAGUAAUCGUAGAUCAGCAUGCUACGGUGAAUACGUUCCCGGGUCUUGUACACACCGCCCGUCACACCACGAGAGUUUGUAACACCCGAAGCCGGUGGAGUAACCUUUUAGGAGCUAGCCGUCGAAGGUGGGACAAAUGAUUGGGGUGAAGUCGUAACAAGGUAGCCGUAUCGGAAGGUGCGGCUGGAUCACCUCCUUUCUAAGGA
rnacentral:rRNA from 1 species